GACGUAGGGGGCAAGCGUUGUUCGGAAUUAUUGGGCGUAAAGAGCUCGUAGGCGGUUUGUUGCGUCGGCUGUGAAAUCCCGAGGCUCAACCUCGGGUCUGCAGUCGAUACGAGCAAACUAGAGUGUUGCAGGGGAGACUGGAAUUCCUGGUGUAGCGGUGAAAUGCGCAGAUAUCAGGAGGAACACCGGUGGCGAAGGCGGGUCUCUGGGCAACAACUGACGCUGAGGAGCGAAAGCGUGGGGAGCGAACAGG
rnacentral:rRNA from 1 species